GAUGAACGCUGGCGGCGUGCCUAAUACAUGCAAGUCGAGCGAAUGGAUUAAGAGCUUGCUCUUAUGAAGUUAGCGGCGGACGGGUGAGUAACACGUGGGUAACCUGCCCAUAAGACUGGGAUAACUCCGGGAAACCGGGACUAAUACCGGAUAACAUUUUGAACCGCAUGGUUCGAAAUUGAAAGGCGGCUUCGGCUGUCACUUAUGGAUGGACCCGCGUCGCAUUAGCUAGUUGGUGAGGUAACGGCUCACCAAGGCAACGAUGCGUAGCCGACCUGCGAGGGGGAUCGGCCACACUGGGACUGAGACACUGCCCAGACUCCAACGAGAGGCAUCAUUAGGGAAUCGUCCGCAAUGGAAGAAAGUCUGACGGAGCAACGCCGCGUGAGUGAUGAAGGCUUUCGGGUCGUAAAACUCUGUUGUUAGGGAAGAACAAGUGCUAGUUGAAUAAGCUGGCACCUUGACGGUACCUAACCAGAAAGCCACGGCUAACUACGUGCCAGCCGCCGCGGUAA
rnacentral:rRNA from 1 species